UACGUAGGUCCUGAGCGUUGUCCGGAUUUAUUGGGCGUAAAGCGAGCGCAGGUGGUUUAUUAAGUCUGGUGUAAAAGGCAGUGGCUCAACCAUUGUAUGCAUUGGAAACUGGUAGACUUGAGUGCAGGAGAGGAGAGUGGAAUUCCAUGUGUGGCGGUGAAAUGCGUAGAUAUAUGGAGGAACACCGGUGGCGAAAGCGGCUCUCUGGCCUGUAACUGACACUGAGGCUCGAAAGCGUGGGGAGCAAACAGG
rnacentral:rRNA from 1 species